rnacentral:pre_miRNA from 1 species
AAAGGUGAAGCUGCCAGCAUGAUCUAGCUUUGGUUAGAGGGAAAGAGAAGGGUUGAUUUUACUAACCCUAACUAGGUCAUGCUCUGACAGCCUCACUCUUUC